AUUGAACGCUGGCGGCAUGCUUUACACAUGCAAGUCGAACGGUAACAGGUCUUCGGAUGCUGACGAGUGGCGAACGGGUGAGUAAUACAUCGAAACGUGCCUAGUAGUGGGGGAUAACUACUCGAAAGAGUAGCUAAUACCGCAUGAGAUCUACGGAUGAAAGCAGGGGACCUUCGGGCCUUGUGCUACUAGAGCGGCUGAUGGCAGAUUAGGUAGUUGGUGGGGUAAAGGCUUACCAAGCCUGCGAUCUGUAGCUGGUCUGAGAGGACGACCAGCCACACUGGGACUGAGACACGGCCCAGACUCCUACGGGAGGCAGCAGUGGGGAAUUUUGGACAAUGGGCGAAAGCCUGAUCCAGCAAUGCCGCGUGCAGGAUGAAGGCCCUCGGGUUGUAAACUGCUUUUGUACGGAACGAAAAGCCUGGGGCUAAUAUCCCCGGGUCAUGACGGUACCGUAAGAAUAAGCACCGGCUAACUACGUG
rnacentral:rRNA from 1 species